AGUGAACGCUGGCGGUAGGCCUAACACAUGCAAGUCGAACGGCAGCACAGUAAGAGCUUGCUCUUACGGGUGGCGAGUGGCGGACGGGUGAGGAAUACAUCGGAAUCUACUUUUUCGUGGGGGAUAACGUAGGGAAACUUACGCUAAUACCGCAUACGACCUACGGGUGAAAGCAGGGGAUCUUCGGACCUUGCGCGAUUGAAUGAGCCGAUGUCGGAUUAGCUAGUUGGCGGGGUAAAGGCCCACCAAGGCGACGAUCCGUAGCUGGUCUGAGAGGAUGAUCGGCAAACCUGGAACUGAGCAACGGUCAAGACUCCUACGGGAGGAAGAAGUGGGGAAUAUUGGACAAUGGGGGCAAGCCUGAUCCAGCCAUACCGGGGGGGUGAAGAAGGCCUUCGGGUUGUAAAGCCCUUUUGUUGGGAAAGAAAAGCAGCAGGUUAAUACCCCGCUGUUCUGACGGUACCCAAAGAAUAAGCACCGGCUAACUUCGUG
rnacentral:rRNA from 1 species